CCUAAUUUAAAAGUGUGUUUUUCUGACCUUAGGCUUUUAGCCCAGCUGCCAAGAGCAAAUGUUGUUCUCUUGCGAUACCUUUUUGGAGUGCUAUACAACAUUGAGCAACAUUCGUCAUCCAAUCAGAUGAAAGCUUAUAAUUUAUCCGUUUGUAUAGCCCCAUGCGUUCUUUACCCACCUGAUUCCGAAAGCUUGGAAUUGGAAGACAACAUGAUAAAAAAGACUCCGGUCGGAAGACUGUGAAAAGCCAUUUUUUCAGAGACAGGGCCUUUUGGUGGGGCUCCGGCACUUCCCAGCACACCCAGUGCACAGCCCCACCUUCCGCAAAGCCAGGACAGCUCUUUGGAGUUUCCCUCAUGGAUGUGUGUGAUAAAGACAACUUGCCCUUCCCAAUUCUGGGUAUGCUUUCCUUUAUUAAUGAAAAAGGGCCCCUCACAGAAGGCAUAUUCAGAAACUCAGCCAAUAUAAAAUCCUGCCAUGUCCUAAAGGAAAAACUGAAUUCUGGGGUCAAAGUGAACCCAUACAGCGAAUCUGUUCAUGUGGUCGCAUCCGUCUUAAAGGUAGGGAAGGUUCUAGCAGUAUCUACACACGAGUAACUGAAGCUAUGACUGGUGUCCUUCAUCAAGACUGCUCAAGAACAAUAAUGGGCAUAAUAGAUUAAGAACCUGACAAGCUGAAAAACGCUUAACAAAAGCAAAAUUUAAGGAAGCGACUUUAGGAGUUAAAAGCCCCAUGUGUUAGAAAUACUUUCUCUUUUCACUACACACCGCCCUCCCCACCUUCACUCCUAAAGACUCCAUGCAAAAUACUAAUACUGAAAUGACUACUAGUCAUGAUAAUAAAUUUCGAAAUACGCACCGAUACAUACACACAGUUUACCCAUGAAAACAUCCUCACCCCCCUCCUAAU